UACGUAGGGUGCAAGCGUUAAUCGGAAUUACUGGGCGUAAAGCGUGCGCAGGCGGUUGUGCAAGACAGAUGUGAAAUCCCCGGGCUUAACCUGGGAAUUGCAUUUGUGACUGCACGGCUAGAGCGUGUCAGAGGGGGGUAGAAUUCCACGUGUGAGCAGUGAAAUGCGUAGAUAUGUGGAGGAAUACCGAUGGCGAAGGCAGCCCCCUGGGAUAACACUGACGCUGCAUGCAC
rnacentral:rRNA from 1 species